CCGUGCCCCGUGUGCAUUGCAGCUGGCGGUGUGGUUGAACGGUCUUUGUGUGCUUUCCAGGGUGAUGCUGAGAACACACCCAUCCUUCAUCUUCUUUCCGUUCUGCUCCCAUCUUCUCCUGUGCCCUCUGCCUCUUUCUGACUCUUCGUUGUAGACAUUGCUCCUAAUGGUCAGACGUCUGCCAAGACUGUGGUCAUUUUCUUGGUCGCGUU
rnacentral:lncRNA from 1 species